AGUUGCCCAAUAAUUCCUCUGCCUUUCAAUCUGACACUGAAAGCUUCUGGCAUAAUUAUUUGUUCCUGACAUUGCUUCUCUAUGAAAGAGGGUGUUAGUCCUGUCAAACUGCUGCCCAGUGCCCUGAUGGGAGCUCUUAAGCCCCCCAGCUGCUCUGAGAAGCUGUGACACUCUUAGUCCUCACGUCACCUCCAGAUUCCAGGAGAACAAACUCCUUCAACUCAUGGCAAGUGGGGGAUAGAUGGAGAAGGAGAGGGAAGGAACAUGAUGAACUUGUUUCUAUCCUUUUUACUCGCCUGUGCUCAGAUGCUGAGGCAGGUGGCUGAGGGCAGCUGCCUGGGCUGGACCCAUGCAGUACUUACACAUGCACCACCUAUUCAAGUCUUGCCUGAGAAGCAGGCUGGCAAAGGUAUAGGCUGCCUGAGGCCAGUGACCAGCUUGUUCUGCAUCUGCACAGAACCUCAGAGAACAGAGUAACCUCAACCAUAGCAGUCAUACCAUCAAUGCAUACAUAAUAUUCAUCUUGCAUAUUUUUUUUUUAAUAAGAGACAUCUAUUUGGAUUAACCACAUCACGGAGGUACCUUACCAGUCCUUCUGUACACAGGCCUUUUAUUUAAUUUCACAGAUAUUAUACCAAGUUUCCCUACCAUGACAACCAAAAGGACACCACAGUGAAGGACUGUUUCAGUGUCUAAGAGAGAGUGCACAAAAAGAAAGUAAAACACUGACAAAAGAUAGAAAUGGCUCUUGUAUACUUCUUUCAAUGGUGCCACAAUAGAGACUGUUAAUAUGAUUAGUAUUGGCAAUAUAGACAGCAUUCUUUUCUAGUUGAAUACACUGAGGAAAUCAGUAAAGAAAAUGAAGAAUAAAAAUACCUAGUGUAUUUAUUAACUCAUCUGAAUCAGUGAAUACCCAGUGA